rnacentral:rRNA from 1 species
AGGCGGCGUAAGCUGUCGCUAUGGGAUGGCCCCGCGGUGCAUUAGCUAGUUGGUAAGGUAACGGCUUACCAAGGCGAUGAUGCAUAGCCGAGUUGAGAGACUGAUCGGCCACAUUGGGACUGAGACACGGCCCAAACUCCUACGGGAGGCAGCAGUAGGGAAUCUUCCACAAUGGACGCAAGUCUGAUGGAGCAACGCCGCGUGAGUGAAGAAGGUUUUCGGAUCGUNAAGCUCUGUUGUUGGUGAAGAAGGAUAGAGGUAGUANCUG